CAGAACGAACGCUGGCGGCAUGCCUAACACAUGCAAGUCGAACGAGACCUUCGGGUCUAGUGGCGCACGGGUGCGUAACGCGUGGGAAUCUGCCCUUGGGUUCGGAAUAACAGUUGGAAACGACUGCUAAUACCGGAUGAUGUCUUCGGACCAAAGAUUUAUCGCCCAGGGAUGAGCCCGCGUAGGAUUAGCUUGUUGUGAGGU
rnacentral:rRNA from 1 species